rnacentral:rRNA from 1 species
UUUACCUACGGGAGGCAGCAGUGAGGAAUAUUGGUCAAUGGCCGAGAGGCUGAACCAGCCAAGUCGCGUGAGGGAUGACGGCCCUACGGGUUGUAAACCUCUUUUGUCGGGGAGCAAGACCCGCCUCGUGCAGGCGGAGCGAGAGUACCCGAAGAAAAAGCAUCGGCUAACUACGUGCCAGCAGCCGCGGUAAUACGUAGGUGGCAAGCGUUGUCCGGAUUUAUUGGGCGUAAAGCGAGUGCAGGCGGUUCAAUAAGGCUGAU